rnacentral:rRNA from 1 species
CGGGAGGCAGCAGUGGGGAAUAUUGCACAAUGGGCGCAAGCCUGAUGCAGCCAUGCCGCGUGUGUGAAGAAGGCCUUCGGGUUGUAAAGCACUUUCAGUUGUGAGGAAGGUGGUGUCCGUUAAUAGCGGCAUCAUUUGACGUUAGCAACAGAAGAAGCACCGGCUAACUCCGUGCCAGCAGCCGCGGUAAUACGUAGGGGGCAAGCGUUAUCCGGAAUCACUGGGCGUAAAGGGUGCGUAGGCGGCUUAGCAAGCCAGGGGUGAAAGGCAUUGGCUCAACCAAUGUAAGCCUUUGGAACUGUUAAGCUUGAGUGCAGGAGAGGUAAGUGGAAUUCCUAGUGUAGAGGUGAAAUUCGUAGAUAUUAGGAGGAACACCAGUGGCGAAGGCGACUUACUGGACUGUAACUGACGCUGAUGCACGAAAGCGUGGGUAGCGAACAGGAUUAGAUACCCUGGAG